GCGUCGGUAAUGCAACAGUUCAGCACCAUCCCCCGGAUAAGGUGAAAUCUGGGUUCGAAUCCCAGCUGAAGCA